UACAGAGGUCUCAAGCGUUGUUCGGAUUCAUUGGGCGUAAAGGGCGCGUAGGCGGCGCGGUAAGUCACUUGUGAAAUCUCUGAGCUUAACUCAGGACGGCCAAGUGAUACUGCAGUGCUAGAGUGUGGAAGGGGCAAUCGGAAUUCUUGGUGUAGCGGUGAAAUGCGUAGAUAUGACAUAGAACACCAAUUGCGUAGGCAGCUUACUACACGAUCAUUGACGCUGAGGCACGAAAGCGUGGGGAGCAAACAGG
rnacentral:rRNA from 1 species